AUUGAACGCUGGCGGCAUGCCUUACACAUGCAAGUCGAACGGCAGCACGGGAGCAAUCCUGGUGGCGAGUGGCGAACGGGUGAGUAAUAUAUCGGAACGUGCCCAGUCGUGGGGAUAACGUAGAGAAAUUUACGCUAAUACCGCAUACGAUCUAAGGAUGAAAGCGGGGGAUUCGCAAGAACCUCGCGCGAUUGGAGCGGCUGAUAUCAGAUUAGGUUGUUGGUGAGGUAAAAGCUCACCAAGCCGACGAUCUGUAGCUGGUUUGAGAGAACGACCAGCCACACUGGGACUGAGACACGGCCCAGACUCCUACGGGAGGCAGCAGUGGGGAAUAUUGGACAAUGGGCGAAAGCCUGAUCCAGCCAUGCCGCGUGUGUGAAGAAGGUCUUCGGAUUGUAAAGCACUUUAAGUUUGGGAGGAAGGGCAGUUACCUAAUACGUGAUUGUUUGACGUUACCGACAGAAUAAGCACCGGCUAACUCU
rnacentral:rRNA from 1 species